rnacentral:rRNA from 1 species
GCAUAUCAAUAAGCGGAGGAAAAGAAACUAACAAGGAUUCCCCUAGUAACGGCGAGUGAAGAGGGAAGAGCUCAAAUUUUGAAUCUGACAUCUUUGGUGUCCGAGUUGUAAUCUAGAGAAGUGUUUUCCGUGGCGGACCGUGCACAAGUCUCCUGGAAUGGAGCGUCAUAGAGGGUGAGAAUCCCGUAUAUGGCACGGACUCCCGUUGCUCUGUGAUACACUCUCAACGAGUCGAGUUGUUUGGGAAUGCAGCUCUAAUUGGGUGGUAAAUGCCAUCUAAAGCUAAAUAUUGGCGAGAGACCGAUAGCGAACAAGUACCGUGAGGGAAAGAUGAAAAGCACUUUGGAAAGAGAGUGAAACAGUACGUGAAAUUGUUGAAAGGGAAACGCU